UACGGGGGGGGCAAGCGUUGUUCGGAAUUACUGGGCGUAAAGCGUGCGCAGGCGGUUAUGUAAGACAGGGGUGAAAUCCCCGGGCUUAACCUGGGAACUGCAUUUGUGACUGCAUAGCUAGAGUACGGUAGAGGGGGAUGGAGUUCCGCGUGUAGCAGUGAAAUGCGUAGAUAUGCGGAGGAACACCGAUGGCGAAGGCAAUCCCCUGGACCUGUACUGACGCUCAUGCACGAAAGCGUGGGGAGCAAACAGG
rnacentral:rRNA from 1 species